AGAGUUUGAUCAUGGCUCAGGACGAACGCUGGCGGCGUGCCUAAUACAUGCAAGUAGAACGCUGAAGACUGGUGCUUGCACUAGUCAGAUGAGUUGCGAACGGGUGAGUAACGCGUAGGUAACCUACCUCAUAGCGGGGGAUAACUAUUGGAAACGAUAGCUAAUACCGCAUGACAAUUAAGUACUCAUGUACUAAAUUUAAAAGGAGCAAUUGCUUCACUAUGAGAUGGACCUGCGUUGUAUUAGCUAGUUGGUGAGGUAACGGCUCACCAAGGCUACGAUACAUAGCCGACCUGAGAGGGUGAUCGGCCACACUGGGACUGAGACACGGCCCAGACUCCUACGGGAGGCAGCAGUAGGGAAUCUUCGGCAAUGGGGGCAACCCUGACCGAGCAACGCCGCGUGAGUGAAGAAGGUUUUCGGAUCGUAAAGCUCUGUUGUUAGAGAAGAACGGUAAUGGGAGUGGAAAAUCCAUUACGUGACGGUAACUAACCAGAAAGGGACGGCUAACUACGUGCCAGCAGCCGCGGUAAUACGUAGGUCUCGAGCGUUGUCCGGAUUUAUUGGGCGUAAAGCGAGCGCAGGCGGUUAUUUAAGUCUGAAGUUAAAGGCCGUGGCUCAACCAUGGUUCGCUUUGGAAACUGGAUAACUUGAGUGCAGAAGGGGAGAGUGGAAUUCCAUGUGUAGCGGUGAAAUGCGUAGAUAUAUGGAGGAACACCGGUGGCGAAAGCGGCUCUCUGGUCUGUAACUGACGCUGAGGCUCGAAAGCGUGGGGAGCAAACAGGAUUAGAUACCCUGGUAGUCCACGCCGUAAACGAUGAGUGCUAGGUGUUAGGCCCUUUCCGGGGCUUAGUGCCGC
rnacentral:rRNA from 1 species